rnacentral:rRNA from 1 species
CCUACGGGUGGCAGCAGUGGGGAAUAUUGCACAAUGGGGGAAACCCUGAUGCAGCGACGCCGCGUGAGUGAAGAAGUAUCUCGGUACGUAAAGCUCUAUCAGCAGGGAAGAAAAUGACGGUACCUGACUAAGAAGCCACGGCUAACGACGUGCCAGCAGCCGCGGUAAUACGUAGGGGGCAAGCGUUAUCCGGAUUUACUGGGUGUAAAGGGAGCGUAGACGGCCGCACAAGUCUGGAGUGAAAUCCCGGGGCUUAACCCCGGAACUGCUUUGGAAACUGUGCGGCUGGAGUGCAGGAGGGGUCAGCGGACUUCCUGGUGUAGCGGUGACCUGCGUAGAUAUUAGGCUCAACACCGGUGGCGCCGGCGGCUUACUGGACUGUACCUGACGUUGCGGCUCUACAGCGUGGUGAGCAAACCGGCUUAGAUACCCGUAGUC